rnacentral:lncRNA from 1 species
GAUUUAUACCAUUUAAUACAAAAAUGAAUUUACCAAAUGAUGAAAAUUUAGACAUAUUAAAUAAUAAUGAUAUUAUUCGGAAAAUAAUAGACAUUCAAAAUAUAUUAAUCAUGAUGUCAGAUAGUAUGGUCGUUUUAAAAAACAAAAAUAAAAUACUAGACGAAGAAAAUGAAAAGUUACAAAUACAUAUUAAUAGUAUUGUUAAUGAAAUUAAAAAAGAGGCUGUUCAUAAUUUUGAUGAUUCUACCGAAACAGUUUCUAAUAAUAUAGCAUUAAAAAACGAAAAUGGAAUGGGUGAGGAACGAGGUGGAAAAAAAAGUAACGGAAAAGGAAGUGACGGGAAAGAGCAUAACAAAAAAGAAAUAACUAACGAAGAAUCAAAUAAUUACAGUAGUGACAACUCAUGUAGCAGCCCAAAAAAUAGUACAUACAAAAACACACCAAAGCUUACGGAGGAGGUACAAAAAAUCAGUCACAAUAAAAAUAUAAUUAAUAAAAAAAACUGUGCAAACAAUAUUUUCGAAAUACAACAGGAACUACAUGUUAAUGAUAAAAGAGGAUUUAAAACUAUUCAUAAUAAUAAAAUAAAUAAUAAUAAUAAUACAUACACUAAUGAUAUUAAAAAUAUAAGUGAAGAUAGAUAUAUAAAUAAUAACAAUAGUAGUAAUAAUGAUGGUAUUAACAAAAACCCCAAUGUGAUUAAAUCAGUACCAAGAGAAAAUAUGUUAUAUUCUUUCAUCAACGAAAAAGAUAAGCUGAAUUCAAUUUUUAAUGUCGCAUCUAGUAUUAUUAGUGCAUCAUUUUUUAAUGUAUCAUUAGAGCAUAACAAUAAUACUACUAUCAGUUAUAGUACUAACAAAAACAGCAACAGUAACAACAGCAAUAGUAAGAAUAACAGCAAUAACAAUAAAAAUGACAAUAAAAGUGACAAUAAAAAUGACAAUAAAAGUGACAAUAAAAAUGACAAUAAAAGUGACAAUAAGAAUGACAAUAAGAAUGACAAUAAAAAUGACAGCAAUAAUGAUGAAAAUGAGAAUACUCAGAACGGUUACCACAAUACAGAAAAAUACACAGAUAUCA